AGAGUUUGAUCCUGGCUCAGGACGAACGCUGGCGGCGUGCUUAACACAUGCAAGUCGAACGAUGAAGCCUUCGGGUGGAUUAGUGGCGAACGGGUGAGUAACACGUGGGUGAUCUGCCCUGCACUCUGGGAUAAGCCUGGGAAACUGGGUCUAAUACCGGAUAUUUCCUAUCGAUCGCAUGGUUGGUGGGGGAAAGCUUUUGCGGUGUGGGAUGGGCCCGCGGCCUAUCAGCUUGUUGGUGGGGUGAUGGCCUACCAAGGCGACGACGGGUAGCCGGCCUGAGAGGGUGUCCGGCCACACUGGGACUGAGAUACGGCCCAGACUCCUACGGGAGGCAGCAGUGGGGAAUAUUGCACAAUGGGCGCAAGCCUGAUGCAGCGACGCCGCGUGGGGGAUGACGGCCUUCGGGUUGUAAACCUCUUUCAGUACCGACGAAGCGCAAGUGACGGUAGGUACAGAAGAAGCACCGGCCAACUACGUGCCAGCAGCCGCGGUAAUACGUAGGGUGCGAGCGUUGUCCGGAAUUACUGGGCGUAAAGAGCUCGUAGGUGGUUUGUCGCGUUGUCCGUGAAAACUCACAGCUUAACUGUGGGCGUGCGGGCGAUACGGGCAGACUGGAGUACUGCAGGGGAGACUGGAAUUCCUGGUGUAGCGGUGGAAUGCGCAGAUAUCAGGAGGAACACCGGUGGCGAAGGCGGGUCUCUGGGCAGUAACUGACGCUGAGGAGCGAAAGCGUGGGGAGCGAACAGGAUUAGAUACCCUGGUAGUCCACGCCGUAAACGGUGGGUACUAGGUGUGGGUUUCCUUCCUUGGGAUCCGUGCCGUAGCUAACGCAUUAAGU
rnacentral:rRNA from 1 species